rnacentral:rRNA from 1 species
AGUGAACGCUGGCGGUAGGCCUAACACAUGCCAGUCGAACGGCAGCACAGUAAGAGCUUGCUCUUACGGGUGGCGAGUGGCGGACGGGUGAGGAAUACAUCGGAAUCUACUUUUUUGUGGGGGAUAACGUAGGGAAACUUACGCUAAUACCGCAUACGACCUACGGGUGAAAGCAGGGGAUCUUCGGACCUUGCGCGAUUGAAUGAGCCGAUGUCGGAUUAGCUAGUUGGCGGGGUAAAGGCCCACCAAGGCGACGGUCCGUAGCUGGUCUGAGAGGAUGAUCAGCCACACUGGAACUGAGACACGGUCCAGACUCCUACGGGAGGCAGCAGUGGGGAAUAUUGGACAAUGGGCGCAAGCCUGAUCCAGCCAUACCGCGUGGGUGAAGAAGGCCUUCGGGUUGUAAAGCCCUUUUGUUGGGAAAGAAAAGCAGCAGGUUAAUACCCCGCUGUUCUGACGGUACCCAAAGAAUAAGCACCGGCUAACUUCGUG